UACGGAGGGAGCUAGCGUUGUUCGGAAUUACUGGGCGUAAAGCGCACGUAGGCGGCUUUGUAAGUUAGAGGUGAAAGCCUGGGGCUCAACUCCAGAACUGCCUUUAAAACUGCAUCGCUUGAAUCCAGGAGAGGUGAGUGGAAUUCCGAGUGUAGAGGUGAAAUUCGUAGAUAUUCGGAAGAACACCAGUGGCGAAGGCGACUCGCUGGACAGACAUUGACGCUGAGGUGCGAAAGCGUGGGGAGCAAACAGG
rnacentral:rRNA from 1 species